AUACGGAGGACGCGAGCGUUAUCCGGAUUCAUUGGGUUUAAAGGGUGCGCAGGCGGCCGUGCAAGUCAGCGGUGAAAGCCCGGGGCUCAACCCCGGAAGUGCCGUUGAUACUGCAUGGCUGGAAUGCGGUCGAGGCGGGGGGAACGUGGGGGGUAGGGGUGAAAAGCGUAGAUAUGCCACAGAACGCCGAUAGCGGAGGCAGCUCGCCAGGCCUGCGUUGACGCUCGGGCACGAAAGCGUGGGGAUCGAACAGGAUUAGAUACCCUAGUAGUCCUCGCCGUAAACGAUGAAUACUAAGUGUUGGAAUUAUCCAGUGCUGCAGUUAACGCAAUAAGUAUUCCGCCUGGGGAGUAUGCAUGCAAGUGUGAAACUCAAAGGAAUUGACGGGG
rnacentral:rRNA from 1 species